rnacentral:rRNA from 5 species
ACUCUCGGCAACGGAUAUCUCGGCUCUCGCAUCGAUGAAGAACGUAGCGAACUGCGAUACUUGGUGUGAAUUGCAGAAUCCCGUGAACCAUCGAGUCUUUGAACGCAAGUUGCGCCCGAAGCCAUUAGGCUGAGGGCACGUCUGCCUGGGCGUCACGC